rnacentral:rRNA from 1 species
UGCGUAGGCGGUCUUUUAAGUCAGGAGUGAAAGGCUACGGCUCAACCGUAGUAAGCUCUUGAAACUGGAGGACUUGAGUGCAGGAGAGGAGAGUGGAAUUCCUAGUGUAGCGGUGAAAUGCGUAGAUAUUAGGAGGAACACCAGUAGCGAAGGCGGCUCUCUGGACUGUAACUGACGCUGAGGCACGAAAGCGUGGGAGCAAACA